AACUUUAUAGUCAAAAUAUGAUGCUAGAUUGCAAGUCUUGAGUUGUUUAAUACUAAAGUUU
rnacentral:tRNA from 1 species